rnacentral:rRNA from 1 species
UACAGAGGUCUCAAGCGUUGUUCGGAAUCACUGGGCGUAAAGGGUGCGUAGGCCGCACGGUAAGUCAGGUGUGAAAGCCCGGAGCUCAACUUCGGAAUUGCACCCGAUACUGCCGUGCUUGAGGACUGGAGGGGAGUCUGGAAUUCACAGUGGAGCAGUGAAAUGCGUAGAUAUUGUGAGGAACACUAGUGGCGAAGGCGAGACUCUGGACAGUUCCUGACGCUGAGGCACGAAGGCCAGGGGAGCAAACGGG